GGUUUGAUUAUGGCUCAGAUUGAACGCUAUGGAUAAGCAUAUGCAAGUCGAACGGCAGCACGGACUUCGGUCUGGUGGCGAGUGGCGAACGGGUGAGUAAUGCAUCGGAACGUGCCUAGUAGCGGGGAUAAUCACGCAGCGUGAAUGCCAUUAUUUCGCCGCCCUUCUGGGAAAGCGGGGACCUUCGGCCUCGCACCAUUAGAGCGGCUGAUAUUUGAUACUGAAGCUGUUGUGGGGUAACGGCUCACCAAGGCGACAUCCUGCAGUUGGUUUGAGAGGACGACCAGCCACACUGGGACUGAGACACGCCCAGACUCCUACGGAGGCAGCAGUGGGGAAUUUCCGACAAUGGGGAAACCCGAUCCAGCCAUCCCGCGUGCGAUGGGAAGGCUUCGGGCCAAAGCACUUUUUGCAGGAAAAAGAAAAACGCAUGCACUGGAUAAUACCCCGUGCAACUGAUUUGCGGCCUGUAGAAUAAGCACUGGCUAAUCACUGUGCCAAGGCCGCGGUAAUACGUAGGUGCAAGCGUUAAUCGGAAUACUGGGCGUAAAGCGUGCGUAGGCGGUUCGGAAAGAAAGAUGUGAAAUCCCAGAGCUUAACUUUGGAACUGCAUUUUUAAUCAAUGAGCAGAGGUGUCAGAGUGGGAGGUGGAAUUCCGCGUGUAGCAGUGUGGAAUGCGAUGAGGUGCGGAGGAACAAUUGAUAUGCAGGCUGCAGCCCUCCCUGGGAAACACUGACGCUCAUGCACGAAAGCGCAGAGCAAACAGGAUUAGAGAUGCUCCUGGUAGUCCACGCCCUAAACGAUGUCAACUAGCUGUUGGGGCCUCGGGCCUUGUAGCGCAGCUAACGGUGAAGUUGACCGCCUGGGGAGUAUUGUCGCAAGAUUAAAACUCAAAGGAAUGACGGGACUGUGGCCAGCGUGGAUGAUGUGGAUUAAUUCGAUAAACGCGAAAACCUUACCUACCCUUGACAUGUCUGGAAUCCCGAAGAGACUGGGAGUGUUCGCAAGAGGUCCGGAACACAGGUGCUGCAUGGCUGUCGUCAGCUCGUGUCGAGAUGCUGUUGUCUCAACGAGCGCAACCUCGUCAUUAUUGCUGCUUAGGCACACUCUAAUGAGACUGCCGGUGACGAAAUCUUGGAGGAAGGUGACGAUGACGUCAAGUCCUCAUGGCCCUUGCGGUAGGGUCACACGUCAUACCGUCGGGACAGAGGGCCAACCCCGCGAGGGGGAGCCAAUCCCAGAACCGAUCGGGUCCGGAUCGCAGUCUGUAAAUCGACUGCGCAGCUGGGAAUCGCUAGUAAUCGCGGAUCAGCAUGUCGUGGUAACAUGCCCGGGUCUUGUACACACGCCGUCACAUCAUGGGAGGGUUUCACGGUAUAGUUAGUCUGAAUCGUGGCAGAGGGCGAUUACCACGGUAGGAUUCAUGACUGGGGUGAAGUCGCAUCGAAGGGUAGUUUCACAUACCCGAUGCUCCUUGUGGAGCAAUGCAA
rnacentral:rRNA from 1 species